rnacentral:lncRNA from 1 species
UAGCAGUGAAAGGAAAGGAGGAUAUUGUGGGUAACAAUAUGGGUAUAAUUGAACUGGCAUCUUAAGAGGUAGAUCUGCAUGCCUAUGAAAAUCUGGAUAGCCUUGGUGUGGGAAUGGAAGAGAAUUUAGAAAGAGUCACAUGGAGCCCAAUCAGCUGUUUAGCUAAGGAAAAUGUUGAGGGAGUUGUUUCUGAGAGACACGUACCCAAGGUUUGCGAAAUGCAGGGAAUAAUGAUAUUAAGGAAUGAAGGGAAGUUUAAUGAGUUGCGGUCUGUUGGAUCUCUGUGACCCCAGAAUAUCGGACCCAAGGAGGCACAUUUAAUCUGGGUCGGGAGCCCGUGAUGCAGAGCCACCAUAAACUCCUAUCUUGGUUGAUGCUAUUGCUAGUCUUAUGAAUUGAAGAGCUGAGCAGGCUAGACUGCUGAACAGGAACAUUCAGAAUACAGGGAAUUAACGUGGUUGUUGGGAAUCGAAGCAGUAUCAAUAACACCAACUUUUGGAGACAUUAUUCUUAACCUUUCACACAACAAUUGGAUAGGUAC